AACGCUAGCUACAGGCUUAACACAUGCAAGUCGAGGGGCAGCGGGAUUGAAGCUUGCUUCAAUUGCCGGCGACCGGCGCACGGGUGAGUAACGCGUAUCCAACCUUCCGUACACUCAGGGAUAGCCUUUCGAAAGAAAGAUUAAUACCUGAUGGUAUGAUGAGAUUGCAUGAUAUCAUCAUUAAAGACUUAUCGGUGUACGAUGGGGAUGCGUUCCAUUAGGUAGUAGGCGGGGUAACGGCCCACCUAGCCAACGAUGGAUAGGGGUUCUGAGAGGAAGGUCCCCCACAUUGGAACUGAGACACGGUCCAAACUCCUACGGGAGGCAGCAGUGAGGAAUAUUGGUCAAUGGACGAGAGUCUGAACCAGCCAAGUAGCGUGAAGGAUGAAGGUCCUACGGAUUGUAAACUUCUUUUAUAAGGGAAUAAACCCUCCCACGUGUGGGAGCUUGUAUGUACCUUAUGAAUAAGCAUCGGCUAACUCCGUGCCAGCAGCCGCGGUAAUACGGAAGGUCCAGGCGUUAUCCGGAUUUAUUGGGUUUAAAGGGAGCGUAGGCCGUCUGUUCAGCGUGUUGUGAAAUGUAGAUGCUCAACAUCUGAAUUGCAGCGCGAACUGGCAGACUUGAGUGUGCGCAACGUAGCGGAAUUCGUGGUGUAGCGGUGAAAUGCUUAGAUAUCACGAAGAACUCCGAUUG
rnacentral:rRNA from 1 species